rfam:Caenorhabditis briggsae complete genome, chrIV
ACCCGGGUGGCCGAGUGGGGAAAGGCACGAGUCGCACGACUCGGCGGGCACUGACCCAACGCAGGUUCGAGUCCUGUCCCUGGUA